rnacentral:rRNA from 1 species
CCUACGGGGUGCUGCAGUCGAGAAUCAUUCACAAUGGGGGAAACCCUGAUGGUGCGACGCCGCGUGGGGGAAUGAAGGUCUUCGGAUUGUAAACCCCUGUCAUGUGGGAGCAAAUUAAAAAGAUAGUACCACACGAGGAAGAGACGGCUAACUCUGUGCCAGCAGCCGCGGUAAUACAGAGGUCUCAAGCGUUGUUCGGAAUCACUGGGCGUAAAGCGUGCGUAGGCUGUUUCGUAAGUCGUGUGUGAAAGGCGCGGGCUCAACCCGCGGACGGCACAUGAUACUGCGAGACUAGAGUAAUGGAGGGGGAACCGGAAUUCUCGGUGUAGCAGUGAAAUGCGUAGAUAUCGAGAGGAACACUCGUGGCGAAGGCGGGUUCCUGGACAUUAACUGACGCUGAGGCACGAAGGCCAGGGGAGCGAAAGGGAUUAUAUACCCGAGUAGUC